rnacentral:rRNA from 1 species
UACAGAGGUCUCAAGCGUUGUUCGGAUUCAUUGGGCGUAAAGGGCGCGUAGGUGGCGGGACAAGCGUGCGGUGAAAGCUCGGGGCUCAACCCCGAGUCGGCCGUGCGAACUGUUUUGCUGGAGCACUGUAGAGGCAGGCGGAAUUCCGGGUGUAGCGGUGGAAUGCGUAGAGAUCCGGAAGAACACCGGUGGCGAAGGCGGCCUGCUGGGCAGUUGCUGACACUGAGGCACGACAGCGUGGGGAGCAAACAGG